GGGCCCGCACAAGCGGUGGAGUAUGUGGUUUAAUUCGAUGCAACGCGAAGAACCUUACCAGGGUUUGACAUCCUGCGAAUUUCUGGGAAACAGGAGAGUGCCUUCGGGAACGCAGUGACAGGUGGUGCAUGGCUGUCGUCAGCUCGUGUCGUGAGAUGUUGGGUUAAGUCCCGCAACGAGCGCAACCCACGUCUUUAGUUGCCAGCAUUUAGUUGGGCACUCUAGAGAGACUGCCGGUGAUAAACCGGAGGAAGGUGUGGAUGACGUCAAGUCAUCAUGGCCCUUACGAGUAGGGCUACACACGUGCUACAAUGGUGCAUACAGACGGUUGCGAACCCGCGAGGGGGAGCCAAUCCGAGAAAGUGCAUCGUAGUCCGGAUCGGAGUCUGCAACUCGACUCCGUGAAGUCGGAAUCGCUAGUAAUCGUGAAUC
rnacentral:rRNA from 1 species